GGACCAGUGGCGCAAUGGUAACGCGUCGGAUUCCAGUCCCGAAGAUUGUCCGUUCAAUUCGGGCCUGGUUCA
rnacentral:tRNA from 1 species